rnacentral:rRNA from 1 species
GACGAACGCUGGCGGCGUGCUUAACACAUGCAAGUCGAACGGAGAGGCCUUUUCGGAGGUACUCGAGUGGCGAACGGGUGAGUAACACGUGGGUGAUCUGCCCUGCACUCUGGGAUAAGCCUGGGAAACUGGGUCUAAUACCGGAUAGGACCGCACUUUAGAGUGUGUGGUGGAAAGUUUUUUCGGUGUAGGAUGAGCCCGCGGCCUAUCAGCUUGUUGGUGGGGUAAUGGCCUACCAAGGCGGCGACGGGUAGCCGGACUGAGAGGUUGGUCGGCCACAUUGGGUCUGAGAUACGGCCCAGACUCCUACGGGAGGCAGCAGUGGGGAAUAUUGCACAAUGGGCGCAAGCCUGAUGCAGCGACGCCGCGUGGGGGAUGACGGCCUUCGGGUUGUAAACUCCUUUCGCCAGGGACGAAGCGUUUUGUGACGGUACCUGGAGAAGAAGCACCGGCUAACUACGUG